rnacentral:rRNA from 1 species
UACGUAGGUGGCAAGCGUUAAUCGGAAUUACUGGGCGUAAAGCGUGCGCAGGCGGUUUUGUAAGUCUGUCGUGAAAUCCCCGGGCUCAACCUGGGAAUGGCGAUGGAGACUGCAAGGCUAGAAUCUGGCAGAGGGGGGUAGAAUUCCACGUGUAGCAGUGAAAUGCGUAGAGAUGUGGAGGAACACCGGUGGCGAAGGCGGAUCUCUGGGCCUUACCUGACGCUCAGGCACGAAAGCUAGGGGAGCGAACAGG